UAUAUGUCUCUGGGUCCUCUUUGUUCCCCUUUUUAAAGCUGCAGAAGAGGUCUGGACUGAGAGGUGACUUGGGGGGAGGGCUUGGCCACAGUAACAGCAAACCAUUGAAGAACCAGGAACAAUAAGGAGGACUGGAGUGGAAGAGUCUCUGCAACCUGACAUAAGGUGUACCCUGGGGAGUGACUGCAUGUGACUGCUAUGGUUGGAAUGAAGAGUUCUCUACUCAUCAGUAUGACUGUGACUCCCACUAUAUUAGGGGAGGGAUGCAAGGUUCAAAAUUCAGACCCAGAAUCAUCUCUUCUGCAGACUAUACUUUAUCUCUUGUGAUGUUUUCCCUUAGGCUAAAGAGGAGUCAGGAAGUCCUUGUGUUUCUUGAGGAGCAAUCAGAAUCUGACAGCACAGGCUGACAAAGAAUGUGAUGCUCCAGAGACUUCCAUGAAGAGCUGUUGUCUCCCACUGUUCUUGUUGGGGCUGAAGGAACAGGUUGCUUUCAGAUGGCCCUUUUGAGAAGAACAUUUCUUGUGAUAAAUCAGCUGAGCAAGUGAUUGGUUAGCAGAAGUCAGAUUCUGUUCUUUUUCUUCUGCUGUGGAGGGUGAUAAUUGGCCAGCAGGGGAAGAUUUAAUGGCCGUUAGCAGGAGUGGGUCUCAGAGACAGAGUGUUUGAGGCCCUGAGAAGAGCAUCAUACUUGAAGGCAGUUAGAGAGUUGUACUGAGACCCUUAGUGGCUGAAGUGUCUGGAAGCUUCCAGCAUGACUUUGUUCACCCUUUAAUUAAGUUUGUCUACCAGGUGA